UGUUUGAAGUUCUGAGAUUAACAUUUAUGCAUGGAUAGUUCCAAGCCAGCAAAUUGCAGGGACAAAAAGAUUCGCUUCUCAGGGUACGAUCCCGUCCUGUACUCCUGCCAUAUAUAGCUAGCAAUUAGAAAAGCAACGAAGAUUAAUUCAGCUGUCUGACAGGAUACUAACGAAACAGCGGUUAGUGGUGUGUUCGUGUGUCACAGUGUGUGCAUAUGCAACGCAGUGAUGAUCGAAAGGAGAUGAUGCUUCAAGCGUGCCGAGACAUCGGCACUUCACUUCUUCACCUCCCACGGAUGGUUUUUAGUUUACGGAUUGACUCUUAACAAUUUUGUUGGUAAUUCUGUAUUGCAAGCGGAC
rnacentral:lncRNA from 1 species